UACGGAGGGUGCAAGCGUUAGUCGGAAUUACUGGGCGUAAAGGGCGCGUAGGCGGAAUGGUCAGUCAAUUGUGAAAUCCCGAGGCUCAACCUCGGAACUGCAAUUGAUACUGCCAUUCUGGAGGAUAGGCGGAGAAAACGGAAUUCCACGUGUAGCGGUGAAAUGCGUAGAUAUGUGGAAGAACACCUGUGGCGAAAGCGGUUUUCUAGUUAACACCUGACGCUGAGGCGCGAGAGCAAGGGGAGCAAAC
rnacentral:rRNA from 1 species